rnacentral:rRNA from 1 species
AUUGAACGCUGGCGGCAUGCCUUACACAUGCAAGUCGAACGGUAACAGGUCUUCGGAUGCUGACGAGUGGCGAACGGGUGAGUAAUACAUCGGAACGUGCCCGAGAGUGGGGGAUAACGCAGCGAAAGCUGUGCUAAUACCGCAUACGAUCUACGGAUGAAAGCAGGGGAUUCGCAAGGACCUUGCGCUCAUGGAGCGGCCGAUGGCAGAUUAGGUAGUUGGUGGGAUAAAAGCUUACCAAGCCGACGAUCUGUAGCUGGCCUGAGAGGACGACCAGCCACACUGGGACUGAGACACGGCCCAGACUCCUACGGGAGGCAGCAGUGGGGAAUUUUGGACAAUGGGGGAAACCCUGAUCCAGCCAUGCCGCGUGCAGGAUGAAGGCCUUCGGGUUGUAAACUGCUUUGUACGGACGAAAGGUACUUUCUAAUAAAGAAGGACCAUGACGGUACCGUAAGAAUAAGACACCGGCUAACUACGUGCCAGCAGCCGAC